rnacentral:rRNA from 1 species
GACGAACGCUGGCGGCGUGCUUAACACAUGCAAGUCGAACGGAAAGGCCCUGCUUUUGUGGGGUGCUCGAGUGGCGAACGGGUGAGUAACACGUGAGUAACCUGCCCUUGACUUUGGGAUAACUUCAGGAAACUGGGGCUAAUACCGGAUAGGAGCUCCUGCUGCAUGGUGGGGGUUGGAAAGUUUCGGCGGUUGGGGAUGGACUCGCGGCUUAUCAGCUUGUUGGUGGGGUAGUGGCUUACCAAGGCUUUGACGGGUAGCCGGCCUGAGAGGGUGACCGGCCACAUUGGGACUGAGAUACGGACCAGACGCCUACGGGAGGCAGCAGUGGGGAAUAUUGCACAAUGGGCGGAAGCCUGAUGCAGCAACGCCGCGUGCGGGAUGACGGCCUUCUGGUUGUAAACCGCUGUCGCCUGUGACGAAGCGUGAGUGACGGUAAUGGGUAAAGAAGCACCGGCUAACUACGUG